GAUCGCAGCCGCCCGGAGUGACAAAAGCGGAGCAGGAGGCGGAAGGAGGGGAGAAGCUUCCUGAAGUCCCUAAGGAUCACAGAGGCUGAGAGAAAGCCUAUGGAUAAGGAAAAGUCCAGUUAGUAAGACAAAAAAAAUGAGUUACAUCCAGAUGACCUUGGGAGCACAUGGACAUAGAGAGCUCUACACCUCAAAGGAAAAUUACGUUCCAACAGAGGAGAAGGAUAUGUAUAAACAUCUGACAACUAAAAAAUGAAGAGGGUUUUCCAAGACAGAAAAGGACAUAAAUCAUGAUCUUUCCUUACAAGGAAAUUCCUGAAAAAUAAUAGUCCACAAAACCACUGAAAGUGAGCUACAGCCAACUUAGCUAUUCAAAGGAUUUUUUUAACCCCCAUCGUCAUCAGACAUUUAUAGGGAAUGCUUUUGUAAAUUUAUUCUUACUUCUUUCUACUCUCCUCAAUCCAUCAUGGAAGACAAUAAGUUACCAAGGAAAGCAAAGAUUACAGUUCUUACCAAUUUGGUGACAGAGAGCUGAGAGCAGUAGGAUUGAGUUAUUCACGAAGAAGACCUCUGAUUAAUGAGCUUCAAGUAAGAACUAAUUUCCAGACAACCAUCUGUGCCAUCACUAGAACCUGAAAGUUCCCAUUUAUGAUCAAUGUCAAGAUGAGAGUGAAAAGAGAAAUUUACUUUGAAACAGCAAAAAACAUUUUAAUCUUUCCUUUCAAGAGUUUCAACAAAGGAUUUCUCAGUGUCUUAAGGAUUUCAAAUAUUGAGGGGUUGAUCUUGCCUCAUGACAGCAAGCAUUAUUUACAAUAGCCAAGAGAUGAAAGCAGCCCAGCCUUAUUUAACAUAAGAUCGUAUGGUGAAAGCCAUGAGGGAGCGUCAGAGUCUCCAGGGAGAGAAAUUGUGGGUGAAGAAAAGGAAACGGAUCCAAAGGGAAAAGACGUGGCGCCAGUGGUUCUUUCUGCCUACUGUUGUUUCCCGCCCCGGCCUGUGCAGCCACCUGAGGCGUCCUCCAGGCUGCUUUCUGGACCCGAGGCUCGGGACGCUCUCAAGAGGAGAUUCAAAGAAAUUUGAAGGAGAAGGACUUUAGGAAGCAUUCCCUGAUGCGCCAUCUGAUGAAGAGUCCUCACCAGUGCUCCACCACUGCUUGCGCUUACCCUGAUCCCAGCACUAUGGGUUUGUUUGUUGUUUGUCUGGUUUGCCACGUCUCUUGUUAAUUUAAACCACCGGGAGGGCAGGGACAGGUCUCUUUUGUUUUAACAGCAUGCAUUCGCCAGAAAAUAAUCUUUUCUACAUGUUGAAUCCUGCACAUGGAAAUUCUCAAGACACAAUAUGUCAAGAGUGAGAGGAAAGUACAAAAUACAUGUUCACUGUCUUUUCUGACAAUUCUUCUUGCGAACAUAUGGGUAUAAUUGUGGCUCAAUAAAAG